UUUAAGCUAUUUCAACCAAACUUUUUAAGACACUAUAGGGUUAAUUUGGAGAUUUCAGCCUUCCUAUUCAAUGCUUCCGUUUCUAAUCUAUUCAGCUCCUUCAAUCAAGUUUCAAUUCAUGUUCAGUUUAUGCAUAUAUAGAGAGACAAUCUGGAAUAAAUCUCCAGAACUGGCGAGGAGAGGAAGGGAUUUAACGGUGCCCUUUGUUUCUUUCGGGAUCUGUAAGCGAUACAAACCCUAUCUCAGAAUGAUGAAUUGAUGAGGAAGCGAACGUAUGAAGGGGAGUCCGGCUGAUUCCGAUUCCACCAAGACCGAUGUUGUCGCCGCCCUUGAAAACGACCUCAAUAUAUUUGAAAAGGAAUCCAAGAUUCCUGUAGACCUGGACUAGCAUGUAUAUUCAUUGACACAGAUACUCAUAUCCUCUGUCGAACAGAGUUACUUUUAACUUGACGCCAGAGAUGAUUCACAAGAGUCUACUAACUAUUUCCUUUGCCAGUCUGUGUGUUACCAUCAUGGCGUUUGGCGCAGGAGAUGGCCAUGUCGGAGGGCACCACGGUGGAACAUCGUCACUGGUUUGUGCAUGGGAGCGGUAUUAGAGAAGAGCUAUGUGGUAGAGGGCAAGGUUGGCUAUGAUGUUUUGUGGAUCGAUUCAAAGGUUCGAACUCUACAUAGUUCGGCAGUCUGACCUGUUUUGGUAUGAUUUUCGGAUUCCCUUCGCCAUGCUGAGAUUGUAGCCAGAAGAGCUUUGCUAAGGUUCCUUUUUUCUUUUUUUGAGACUCUGUUUUCUGAAUUUAUAACAUUUUUAUCUGAUAUUAAGGUUAAUGCAUUGUCACCCUUUAAUGUAUGAUGACAAAAUUGGUGAAAUCUGGUGGCUUUUUAUGUAGAUAGAACUAUGUUUUUGAAGCCCCUUUUAAGAGCAGAAUUAUAUUUUGACAUUCAUAGUCAAACAGACAAAUAUUGACUUUAAAGUUGUUUAAUUUUGGAAAAUUGAUUUGCAAAAGCUUUGUUUUUUCAACAUUUACUGCAAAGUGAGAAAUGUAGCCUAAAUUGAUAAUAGUUUUCAUGCUAGAGCAGGCUUCUAGGACUGGGAGAUGGCAGAACUAGCGUUGACCAAAUAAGUCAAACACGCGUCUUUUUUGUGAGUUUGUGUAAUGAUAUGAGUAUUAUAAUCAUUAAACAGAAGAGUGAGUGAUUACCGAUUUAGUCAUCGAGAUUAUGGUUGUGAAUUGGAUUGUUGUAGCCUCUAUGCAUUUAUAUGAUUUCGUAUAUUGUUAAUAGUCUGUGACUUCACACUGACUUUCUGAACUAUCAAAAUUUGCUAACAUCAAGUCAUAUUUUGAGACCAGGAUGUUGUUUUACUUCUUCACUUGGAUAAAUAUAAUUUACUACUACUUUGGUUUUGUCUUCUUAAAACAAAAAAAAAAAACAAUCUUUUCUAGAUACUUCUAUUCAGGGAUCCAAAAAAAGUAGCAUGCAGCUUCCAGGUGCAGCUGCCGCAGAUUCCCUAUUCUAUAAGGAGGCAGGAGGUUUUGGCGGUGGCAAAUACAAGAUGAGACCGGGCUGGCAGUUGCACUUAUACAUAUCACAGUUGCCUUAGUUUUCAAUACAUUUUCAUUUUAGAUGUGCACUUUGGAAUAUAAUGAACACAACAAGAGAAGAAACCAGCACUUUUCAACAGUAACAUCCAUUAUUCAACUGUCGGAAGCCGAAGUUGUUGAACCAGGAGCUCUUUCAACCAAGAUUAUUCAACAGCAUUCCCUUACAACUACUGGAUCCAACCCAAACACAACAUGGUUUUGUUGUCUUCUACUCUUUAACAUUAUUCUUCGCAAAUUUCGGGCCCAAUGCGACAACAUUCGUCGUCCCAGCAAAGAUUUUCCCGGCCCGGUUGAGAUCAACUUGUCAUGGGAUAUCCGCAGCGUCAGGGAAACUCGGGGCGAUAGUUGGGGCUUUCGGGUUCUUGUACUUGGCUCAAAAUAAAGAUCAUGCUAAGGCGGAUCACGGGUAUCCACCGGGCAUAGGAGUAAAAAACUCAUUGAUUGUGUUGGGUGUGAUUAACUUGUUGGGGACAUUGUGUACAUUUCUGGUGCCGGAAUCAAAGGGGAAAUCACUUGAGAAAAUGUCUGGUGAGAAUGAAGAAGAAACCGGUGAGACCAGAGCCUAAAUGUUGCUUGAGAAAACAAAUGCUGUUUUUUGUUACAUUUUUUAUGGUGAUUUUGUCACCAUAGCUUAUUAGGUAAUUUAUAUUGCAACUUUUUCCUUCUUCCUAGAGUUAUUAUUCAUUUUUUUUUAAUUUUGUGUUUCAUUUUUGUAGAACACAUGUUGUCUAAUAUAUAUAGGUUAUAAGUUACCUUUGAUAUUAUGGAAA